GCCCUGCGGCACGUACGCCGCCCGGUGGAUGGCUCGGCUCGGGCGCCGACGAAGGGCGCGGCAAGCGGCGAAAUGCCCGGGGUAGGCGCAGGCAGCCGUGGAACCCGGGAUCCCCGAAUGGGACCUCCCGCCCGGGGCGAAUAGCCCCGGGCGCUCGGGAAACCGCGGGGGUUACCCCGCGGGAGUACCGAGUGGGAACCCCCCGAACGGAAACAUCUUAGUAGGGGGAGGAAAAGAAACCAACAGGGAUCCCCCGAGUAGGGGCGACCGAAAGGGGGAGAGCCCAAACCAAAUCCCCGCGGGACAACCGCGGGGAGAUGUGGGGUUGUUGCCGCGGCGGCGGCCCCGGGUUCUCCCGGGGCACCGGGCCGACCCCGGGUAGCCGAAGUGGGCUGGAAAGCCCCGCCGUAGAGGGUGAUAGCCCCGUAGGCUAAACCCGGGGGGCCCGGGCCGCCGCGGAGAGUACCACGGCUUGGUUUUGCCGUGGGAAGCUGGGAGGCACCGACUUCCAAGGCUAAAUACGUCCCGAGACCGAUAGCGAACUAGUACCGUGAGGGAACGCUGAAAAGUACCCCGGAAGGGGGGUGAAAAGAGCCUGAAACCGGGCGGCUACAUACGGGGCGGCCCGAAAGGGAGGAGGCCCCCCGAAGGAAACCGGCGCGAGCCGGGAGUACGAGGGGGGCCGACCGGGGUCGCCCCGUCCGUCUUGAAACACGGGCCGGGGAGUUCACGGCCGUGGCGAGCCUAAGGGGGUUAUCCCCGAAGGCGUAGGGAAACCGACAGGCCCGCAGCCGGGGGUUCACCCCGGCGAGGGGCGGGGUCCGAACAGGGCCCGGAGUCACGGCCGUGAGACCCGAAACCGGGCGAUCUAGGCGGGGGCAGGGUGAAGCCGGGCGAAAGCCCGGUGGAGGCCCGAAGGGGUUCUGACGUGCAAUUCGUUCCCCUGACCCCCGUCUAGGGGCAAAAGACCAAUCGAGCCCGGUGAUAGCUGGUUCCCGCCGAAGUGGGUCGCAGCCCAGCCCCGCCGGAGGCCGGGCCGCGGGGUAGAGCACUGAUUGGGGGUGCAGGGGGCGUUAUGCCCCCGGCCCCCUAUCAAACUCCGAACCCGCGGCCGCCGUAGAUGGCGGGAGUGGGGCUCCCCGGGGUAAGCCCGGGGGCCGAGAGGGGAACAACCCAGACCGGGGUUAAGGCCCCCAAGUGCCGGCUAAGUGCCAAGCGAAAGGGCGUCCUCGGCCUCAGACAGCGGGGAGGUGGGCCUAACAGCAGCCAUCCUCUAAGGAGUGCGUAACAGCUCACCCGCCGAGGCCGAGGGCCCCGAAAAUUGGUCGGGGCUUAAGCCGGCCGCCGAAACCCCGGGGGCGGGCCGCUACGCGGCCCGCAUCCGGUAGGCGGGCGUCGGGGCGGCUCAGAAGCCGGGCCGUGAGGUCCGGUGGAGCCGCCCCGAGUGCGGAUCCCGGCGGUAGUAACAGCGAAGAGGGGUGAGAAUCCCCUCCGCCGGAAAGGGCCAGGGUUCCUCGGCAACGGUCGUCGGCCGAGGGUGAGCCGGCCCUAACCGGGGCCGUAACUCGGACCCCGGGAAGGGGAAACGGGUUAAUAUUCCCGUGCCGCGGGGGUAGGAUUGCGGCAACGCAAGCCCCGCCCCCGACGCCUCCGGGUAGGCCGACCGGGGGCGGCCGGAUGGCCGCGACCCGGCUAACCGCCGAAGGCCCUGGAGUGCCGUAAUGGCGAGAAGGGGCCGAAGGCGGGAAUGGGGGGCCGUUAGGCCCCUUCGGCCGAUCCCGGGGGCCCUUGAAAAGGGGGCGGGGAAAUCCGAUCCCCCGCGCCCGUACCGAGAACCGACACAGGUGCCCCUGGGUGAGAAGCCCCAGGCGUCUGGGGGCUAACCCGGGCCAGGGAACUCGGCAAAUUGGCCCCGUAACUUCGGGAGAAGGGGUGCCCGCGGUCCUGGGGGCUGUACCCCUGGGACCGCGGGUCGCAGUGCCUAGGGGGGCCUGACUGUUUAAUAAAAACAUAGGUCCCCGCAAGCCCGAAAGGGUGUGUACGGGGGCCGAAUCCUGGCCACUGGCGGUCCGUGAAACCGGGGUUCAACCCGGCGAAGCGCCGCUGAAGGCCGGGAGUAACUCUGACUCUCUUAAGGUAGCCAAAUGCCUUGCCGGGUAAGUUCCGGCGCGCAUGAAUGGAUCAACGAGGUCCCCACUGUCCUGGCCCGGGGCCCCGUGAACCCCCGGAGCCGGUGCACAGUCCGGCAACCCCCCGCAGGGAGAGAAGACCCCGUGGAGCUUCACCGCAGCCUGGGGUUGCCUCGGGGGCGCGGGUGCAUAGCGUAGGUGGGACCCGAUGAGCCGCCCCCUCCGGGGGGCGGGGAGGGGCCAAUGGAACACCACCCACCCGCGCCCCCGGGGCUUACCCGGGGGGAGAACCCCCGGGGACAGCCCCAGGUGGGCGGUUUGGCUGGGGCGGCACGCCCGCGAAAAGGUAACACGGGCGCCCAAAGGUCGGCUCAGGCGGGUCAGAGCUCCGCCGUAGAGUGCAAGGGCAAAAGCCGGCCUGACCGGACCCCUAAAAGCAGGGGGUCCGGCCGGGAAACCGCGGCCUAGCGAACGCUCGUGCCCCCCUCGGUGGGGGCCGGGCAUGACAGAAAAGCUACCCCGGGGAUAACAGAGUCGUCGCGGGCGAGAGCCCACAUCGACCCCGCGGUUUGCUACCUCGAUGUCGGCUCUUCCCAUCCUGGGGGUGCAGCAGCCCCCAAGGGUGGGGCUGCCCGCCCAUUAAAGGGGAACGUGAGCUGGGUUUAGACCGUCGUGAGACAGGUCGGACUCUACCCGCGGGGGGUGUGGGCCGCCUGAGGGGAAGGUGCCCUCAGUACGAGAGGAACGGGGCGCCGCGGCCUCUAGUGUACCGGUUGUCCGGCAGGGCAGCGCCGGGCAGCCACGCCGUAGGGGGUAACCGCUGAAAGCAUCUAAGCGGGAACCCCUCCCCGAAAAGAGGCGGCCGCCAGCGGGGGUUUCCCCGCUGGCCCGGGCUCCCGUAGAAGACGGGGUUGAUGGGGCGGGGGUGUAAGCCCCGAGGGGGCGUAGGCCCCCGAGGGGUUCAGCCCGCCGCUCCCAAUCGCCCGGAUGCCGCAAGGG
rfam:Pyrolobus fumarii 1A, complete genome.